UUCAAAGUGUAUUCAGCCAAGAUACUCAUGCCACACAGGUUGAGGAAUAUAUUUCUCUUCGCACUAUUCUUUUUUGAUGUCCAUCCAUCAAUUAUGAACAUUCAGCCACAAACAUGAGGUGAGAGUGGUCGCGAACACGGAUGGGAGAAUGACACAGCAACUGGGAAGGUGCCCUUCGCAGACUGCGUACUCUGCGUAUAGGGAGCGGCGGUACUGGUCUCAGUACAAGAAGAACUAUUCUGGUACAUCUAGAGAGCAAGUGAGUUUCUUAAAUACUGUACAUCCCGAGGAGAAGAAAAUAUGAAGGAGAAAAUUACCCCCAGUUCGAGGAGAGAUUUCAUUCUAAAGUCUCAUCGAAUGCAGUUCUACUGACAAUCAAGAAUCUGUUUGUGUCUGACUCUGCUGUGUACUUCUGUGCUCUGAGGCCCACAGUGAGAAAACUCAAGUCAAACCACAUACAAAAACACAAGCUAAAUCUUACUCAAAAUUGUUUACCUUGUGCUUCUCCUGUUAUAUGAAUAUGAAUUUGGCUUUUGAAUACUUAUGUAGGAUUGAAACUAAUCAAAUACUUCUGCUUUCCUGUCCCAAACUUACCUUUAGUAACACAAGGUCCAUUUGGAAAUUCGGAAGGUACAGAGGUACUGAUAGUAGCCUGUAGGCCAGUAUGUGUAUACACAAGGGAUCUGCUAAUUGUCACACAUUUUGCUUGGUGGGGAAAGCUGUAUUUUGCUGAAUGGUCCGUUUGAAUGUCUCAGAUUAGAUUUUUUAGUAAACUUUCCACUGGGUGCCCUUUUCUUGGGGCUCUGCUCUUUCUCCUUCUAUCUCCCCCAUCUCUCUUUCUGUCUCUUUCUCAGGUAACAUGCUGGGUACAUUUAACUGUGUAUGUUUUACCAUCCUUCAUCUAAUUUGAAAGUGUAAUCAUAACAAAAUACUUUUAUUUAUCCUAUUUUAAUUAUAAAGUAUGUGCUAACUACUUUAUAUACAAUAUACAAUAUAGUAAAUAUACAAUAUAGUAAAUCAAAAGCAAUGUUUCCCACAUAUUUUCUUAUUAUACCGUUAAUUUUAAUCAUCUGUGUAUUUACACUAUCAUGCUGAUAACAUUUUGUUAGUCUUUCGGCAAUCCUACAGCCUAAACCACUGUGGAAACCACCCUUACACUUAAUUUAUACACAAGAUUCUAUUAUAAAAAUUUAAUUUAUAUAUAUAAUAUGUGUGUUGUGUGUGUGUGUGUGUGUAUAUAGUGUAAGUAUAACUUAAUGUAUAGUGAUACAGAUGAUAAAAGGAUAACCAACAGGACAAAUGGAUGUCAUCAGUAAGUCAUUGUUUCAACGCCAGAACGGUUUUAGACAAGGAUGUCUCCUAAGCAACUGAGGUGUUCUGUUGGAUGUAGUAAUGAACACAGCAGUCUUCAUUUAGAAAUUAAAUGAAAAUAAAAAUAAAUUCUGAGUCAACAUAAAUUAAAAUGGGAAAAAUUACACAAGAAAUUGAAUAUAUAAUCACCUAAAUGACAGAGUGGUUGUUAUUAAUGGAUAAAUGUGAUACUGUAUGUACAGUAAUAUAAAUAUUGUCGAUAGUUUUUGUAAAAUUCAGUGAAAUGAGCCAUUGUGCUUAUCAUAAGGAAGCCAAAAAUCAUAUCUUUGAGGGACAUGAAAAAGUCUUGCAUGGUAGGAAAAGUCUCAGAAUUACGGAUCCCCGCACAUGACAUGCAAGAAAAAGUAAAUAAAUUGUGCAAACGAUUUACUAUUUUUUUCCCUCAAUGUACUAAAAUGUGCAAACGAUUACUAUUGCAUUCCCUAGAUUUACUAUUGCGUUCGCUCGAUUUGCUAA